GGAAUCUUCGGCAAUGGGGGCAAGCCUGAUGGAGCAACACCGCGUGAGUGAAGAAGGGUUUCGGCUCGUAAAGCUCUGUUGUUAAAGAAGAACACGUAUGAGAGUAACUGUUCAUACGUUGACGGUAUUUAACCAGAAAGUCACGGCUAACUACGUGUCAG
rnacentral:rRNA from 1 species